rnacentral:lncRNA from 1 species
AUUUCGAGAAACUCUGCGGCGCAACGGAGUGGAACAACGGUAGAGGAGGAGAGAUCGAUUUUGACGCCGUAACAGAAUUUGGCGGCGGUUUCGAAAGCGUCAGAACCACCCGGAAAAUCCUGCAGAGAUAUCUGGUAACGAUCUUCUUCUUCAUCCUCUUGUUGGUCUUGAUAUUCCUCUGUUUCUUCUUCUUCUUCGAUUUCAUUCCCGGUUACACGUUGCUUUUGCUUAGUAACGGUUACAGUAGAUGAUUUCUUACCUUGUUCUUCUAUUAACCGAUCAAUCUUUCUGCUUUUGGAUAUCAAUGGAAACUUCAACAACAACAACAAAAUACAAAGAAAAUAAAUGUUUGCUUCACCAACAAAAAAAAAACACCAUGAAAAAGAAAAUUCAAAACUUAGCUAACCUUAUGAAGAUGAAAAGUCAUAUCAUCAACUUCAAUAAUAAUGUCACUAGGUAAGCCAGUAGCACAAAACCUGUAAAAAUUAUAAAAAAAAAAAAAGUUAGCAUAUUUUUGCAGUAUGAAGAAAAAAAGGAAACGAAAAUGAAAAGCUAACCAUGCUUGGCCUUUAGAGCUAGGUUUAUCAGCUGCCAUUUUUUUUCUUUCAGAUGAAGUUGAAAAUGCUUUGGGUAUUUAGAAACAGUUCUGGAAAAACCUAAAGCAGAUUAAUUUAGGGUUUCCCCCCUAGUUUAGAGAAGAGAGAAGGGGUUGGGUUUAGGAAGAAGAAGCAAUUGGUAAAAUUAAAAAAGGGUGGGAAAUUGGAAUCCUAGAAAACUCAAAGAGGGACAAAUGAAACUUGAACAAAUUUCAAAGAAGGAAGAUCAAUUUUUUUAUUAUUAUAUUCUUUUAACCCCCAAAAAAGGUUUUUUUUUAAUUUUUUAUUUUUGGGUCCUUCUUUUGAAUCACAGCAGAAUCUCAAGUCUCAACUACUCCAACUCUGUCUAAAAAUGUCAAAGAGAGGGGAAAAUGGGACUGAAAAAGGGUAGCGUUUAGAAGAAAAAGACCAAAAGUAGCAAUUAAUCCCAUCUUGGUUGGCAUUUUAUUGCUUUCCAUUUGAGUAUAUAAUGCAUAUUUUAUAAUUCCUUAUUCUUUUAAAUUUAAUAAUAAAAACACAAUUGUGUCAAAAACAAUAAAUAAUUAAAGUGGUAUACCUUAUUAUAAUGUAAUUAUACCAUGAUAUUAGUACACAGUACUUCCUACUUUAUUCAAUAAUGACCUUUAAAUUUCUUUCUAUUAGGUUAGUUAUAGUUCUUUUUUGGUCUGAGUUUUGACCCCUAGUAUACUAUAGUCAAAGUUGAGAUCCGGUUUAGAGUGAAUACCAAUUAUAAAAACUUAUAAAAUAGUCAUUUAAUUAUUAAAUUUUAUCGUUUUUGGUUACCUAAUCAUCUUAUAUUUUUUGAUGUGUCCAUUUUUACGCUAGUCUCUUUGUGAUUAAAAAAAAAACUUGAAUAGUUAUAUGAUAAUUUUAUAACUUUUCGUAGUUGAUGAUAAAAAAAAAACACAAUUGAAUGAUUAUUUUGUAACUAAAAAAAACAUAAUUAGAUGUCCUCUACCUUAAUUUAUUUAUUUUUAUUUACAAUAUUCAAAUCGAGUUCUUAGGAAGUUUGAUAUAUAGUUGACUCAAAAGCUAAGCAUGCUUAACAGAAUCAUCAACAACAACUAUAGAGAGAGUGAGUAGUAUCUACUCUUCACUUUUUUUGGCCAGUGAUAAAUACUCUUAUUUGGAAGUUUUUUUCUUUUGCUUUCAUGGCUAAGAGAACAAGAGAUUAUUGGGUUUUACUAGCUUUUCUCAUGUGGGGGCAUUAUCAAAGUUGGUACCAGAUAUCUACAAGAAAACCAAAAUCCCAAAGCAAGAUGACAAAAUUGUCUACCAUGAUAGUUUUAAGAGUCUUGUUAAAAAUGCUUUAGAUGCAACAACUAAUUGAGAAGGAAAUUGAUAUGCUUUUUCUUCAAACUUUUUUCCAUUGAGGGGCAAAAGGAAAAAAUUGAAACUUUGGGUGUCCAACACUGCAAGUAAAAAAAAAAAAGCCAUUGUUAUUUAAUAUAGUCAUAUGAAAAUAAAUGGGGUACUGGCCAUAUUCUAAAGCACAUGACCCACAUAAAAGAAAACCCCACAGCUUUAAAAAUGAUUGGUUUUUUGUUGUGCUUUGAAGUUCUCAUUUGAAGCUUUUCUUUUUGAAAAUUUCAGGUCUGAAAACGUGGCGCUGGCUUUCAUUAAUAGCAACAUUGCCUCCACCCUUGUAAGUUCUUCCACCCUCUUCCUUGCUUUGCAUUUAUGAAUACAAUAAUGAGACAACUACUACGGAAUAUUUUGUACGAUUUUCCAUUAAGGAUGUGUGUAAAUGGAGUUAGAGGAAGAUAGGGUGUGUAGGAAAAAUCGAAAAUUGAUUUGAAUAUUUUGGAGUAUAAAUUAAAAAUUGUUGUUACUUGAAUUGAAUGGA